UGAUAAACUUAAAGGGAGUGAAGAAAAAGCUAAAGAAAUUGAAAAAGAAGCUUAAAAGCUCGGUUUGCAUACAGUGAGCUCUGUACUAGUUCACCUUCAUCGUUGCCUGGGACAGAACUUUUCGAGGUUCUCGUCGGUUCUGUUCAAAAGUGAAGGAGUUCUGCGCCAGCCAUAGUUCCCAAAGGAGGUUUGUGUCUCUUAAGAUGUCACUGGCAAAUUGGGACUUGUUCUAAACCACCAUGGAGUCUGGGCAGAAAACCACCGCGUGCAAUGCAGUUUCUGACUUUGUCAAGCAUCUUGGGCAAAGGGGAUCAAUGUUGAGGAUUCUGUUAUGUAUCUUCUCCAGCACUGCUAUACCCUCAUGGACUAACCUCCAUAUGAAGUUUAGGAUUUUUGGCUGACACUGUAUAUUUCAGAUUUGUUGCCAUAAGUCUUUCAUCUGAAAUCGGGGGUUUAAACUCGCUAUCGGCGGAUGAUAGAACUGUAUUUGUUAUCAGCUGUCGGACCCAAUGCAUCUCAAGAUUUUGUUCCACUGUUGUUGGAAACCUGAAAGGGGGUUGGUCUCCGAACCAUGGGUCCUCUCUUAUUCUGGUGGAGCCAUGGGUAGUGAUACUGAAUCUAACGCCUUUCUUCAGGACCUUUCUGCCCUCCAAGAGUCUCCGCUAAACCCAAAAAGGUCUGAAUCCAGGCUUUGCUUCCAAGAACAAGGUAUAUUUAUUUUUGUAGAUUUUACAUACCAGUGAAUGUGUUUUGUUAGAAGUCUCCAUCCCUGUUUAGCUAGCAUCGAUAGGUUGAAAGCUUUGAGAUCUUUAAAACCCAAACCUCCUGAAUGUUUGUCUCUGUUGAUUGAGUCCCAACUUAUCCAACGUAUUUUCUCUCAUUCUGUUUUUAUCUCCAUCAAAACUGUAUCAUCAUUUUAUGAAUUUCAUCUAAAAGAGUAUUUGUAAGCUUAAAACAGCUAAGCGAGUAAAUCGGUAUCGCUGUGCCAAUCGCCUUUAUCAAAACCUCUAUUUGGCUUGCCGAAAGCAUCGUUCUUUUCAACCUUAUCUUUAACAAAUGAGAAGGUUUCUCUUUUGGUUCUAUUGACAACUGAUGGAAGGCCCAAAUAAUGAUCUUGAGCACCAAUAUUAGGAACCCCAAUCAAAGUAGCUAGUUCUGUCUGGGUUGUUUGAGGCGUAUUCUUGCUGAAAAAAAAUGGCUGACUUGUUUAAAUUAACGAGCUAGCCACUCAACUUGCUAUAUUGCUGUAGGAUACCUAGGAUCUUGUCACAUGAUUGCCUUUUAGCUCUUCCAAAAAAUAUAGAAUCGUCUGCGAAUAAUAGGUGGUUAAUGGAGGGGCAUCUACUAUUUAACCGGAGUCUCUGCAGUAAGUUAUUCUGUUCUCCUUUGUGGAGUAGAAAGGACAAUCCCUCUGCACAAAUAAAAAAAAGAUAGGGAGAGAGAGGAUCUCCUUGACGGAGCCCUCUGCUUGGCCUAAAGAAGCCAGUAGGAAUUCCUUCCACAACAACAGAUUAAGAGAUUGUAGACACACACUCUUUAAUCUACCCAAUCUACUUAUCACAGAAAUCUAAUUUCGCCAUCAUAAACCAAAGAAAACUCCAUUCAACCCUAUCAUAGGCCUUACUCAUGUCAAUUUUAAGUGCCAUAUCAUGAUUACUAUAGUCCUUAUUCUUCAAAAAACACAUAAUAUUCAUGAGCCACUAAAAUAUUAUCACUAAUGAGUCUUCCUCGGAUAAAAGCACUUUGAUUGUCACUAAUAAUUUUAUUCAUAAAAGGUUGCAGUCUAUGAACAAGUACGUUAGAGAUGAUUUUGUAGAACAUAGUGCCGAGGCUGUCAUCUGAAUUUGAUUAAUUGCAGUUGCAUUUUGUAUCUUUGGAAUGAGACAAAUUUGAGUGUGAUUGAACCCCUAAGCAUGCGUCCUCCUCCAAAAAAGCUUCUAACAGCUUUGCAUACAUCCUACUUGAUAGUAUUCCAAUAAAAUUGGAAGAUUUGGAUAUAAAGCCAUCAUCACCUGGGGCUGCUUCUGGAAUAAUAGAAUAGACGGCCCUUUUGCUCUCUUCUUUGGUAGUUGGCCUUGUUAGUCAUCUAUUUAUUUCCGCAUAAAUCUUUCUUCUAAGUUGAUAUUUUUUAAAGUAAGAUUUUGAAUAUUAGUCUUGGUUUAUAAAGUAAGUUGAACAAAUUUUAUGUUGUGAUUAUAGUCCUAUUUAUAAAGAUCCACUAUAAUAAUGAUGUCUUUAAUAUACGUUUAUUGAUUACAAAUUAUAAGGGGAGAUGGAUUGAAUUUACGAGGCGCAUAUAAGAAUUCGUUUCAACCUUAUUAUCCAUGCAAUAAAAGGAAAAAAGGAUGGUGAAUUUCGGACAG